rnacentral:rRNA from 1 species
GAUGAACGCUAGCGGCAGGCUUAACACAUGCAAGUCGAGGGGUAGAAGUUGCUUGCAACUUUGAGACCGGCGCACGGGUGCGUAACGCGUAUGCAACCUACCUUUUACAGAGGGAUAGCCCAGAGAAAUUUGGAUUAAUACCUCAUAGUAUAUAAUCUUCGCAUGUUGGUUAUAUUAAAGUUCCAACGGUAAAAGAUGGGCAUGCGUCCUAUUAGCUAGUUGGUGUGGUAACGGCACACCAAGGCGACGAUAGGUAGGGGUCCUGAGAGGGAGAUCCCCCACACUAGUACUGAGACACGGACCAGACUCCUACGGGAGGCAGCAGUGAGGAAUAUUGGACAAUGGGCGCAAGCCUGAUCCAGCCAUGCCGCGUGCAGGAAGAAGCAUCUAUGGUGUGUAAACUGCUUUUGUACAGGAAGAAACACCCCUUCGUGAAGGGACUUGACGGUACUGUAAGAAUAAGGAUCGGCUAACUCCGUGCCAGCCGCCGCAGUAAAAC